rnacentral:lncRNA from 1 species
CUUCAGUAACCCGUUCCUACCGAACGGAGGGGAGAAGUACCACCAAUCCUUCAUCGUGGGAUGACGCUUGAAGGUGUAGAAGUAUCUAAACAAGGAAAGGGUGGGCUGGACUUCGACUACAUGACAAAGAGAGAGGAACCCUAUCAAAAACCUAAAGGAGUUCGGUGCAACCGAAGCCAGAGAAAUAUCCAGAAAUCGAAAAAGAGCAAUGACAAAAGGC